rnacentral:rRNA from 1 species
AGCAGCCGCGGUAAUUCCAGCUCCAAUAGCGUAUAUUAAAGUUGUUGCAGUUAAAAAGCUCGUAGUUGAAUUUCGGGAUCAAUAUAUCGGUCGUGCCUUGGUACGUACUGGUAUCAUUGGUUUCUCCUUUCUGACGAACCAUGAUGUCAUUAAUUUGGUGUUAUGGGAAGUUAGGACUGUUACUUUGAAAAAAUUAGAGUGUUUAAAGCAGGCUUUAGCUUGAAUACAUUAGCAUGGAAUAAUGAAAUAGGACGUUCGAACCUAUUUUGUUGGUUUCUAGGAUCAACGUAAUGAUUAAUAGGGAUAGUUGGGGGCAUUAGUAUUCAAUUGUCAGAGGUGAAAUUCUUGGAUUUAUUGAAGACUAACUACUGCGAAAGCAUUUGCCAAGGAUGUUUUCAUUAAUCAAGAACGAAAGUUAGGGGAUCGAAGACGAUCAGAUACCGUCGUAGUCUUAACCAUAAACUAUGCCGACUAGGGAUCGGAUGAUG